AGUCGCGGAGGGGAAGGCUGAGGGACCCGGUCCCCGCCCCGCGUGCUCAGGCUGAACAGCUUUUCUUCCCUGAUCUCUCGGAGGCGCCGGCUGCUGGCCAACGCAGGGCAGCCUCCUGCGUGCGUGCUGUGGGUUUCUCCUUCAGUUUCCUCUCAUUGCCUGAGGUUGGGCCCGAACACGGCGGUACAUUUCCUUGAGAGUCUUCUACAUUCAUGCUGUAGAAGCUAUGAAAGUCGUGGGAAACUAUAGAGUCAACACUGCAAACUCAAGCACUGAUACGUCCGGAGAGCACUUGACCUGCCUUAGAAGUCAGCUCUUUGUAGCCUACAGAAAUGGAAGAGUGGAUGAAGCAGUCUCUCUGGGUUUUCUGGAUUGCUGGAUAGGUGGAGACCUGACAAAUUUCAAAGGCUGCUACCUGACUAACCAACUGCCUAUUCAGAUUUUUACAGCCAUCUUCGACAUGAACACGGAUGUAAUCAUACUCUCACAAUUCAUGUACUACAGGUUAAAGAAUCAGAAGAAAAAAAUGAUAUUCCAACCUCAGUUAUUCAAAGACUCCAUCACCAGAGAGAAAGUCAGAUUGUCACUUUGGGGAGUCCUCUGCCCUGUAUAUAUCCCAUAUUCUUUCAGAUAAGUGAAAUUAGCAUGCCUGGGUAUUACAGUUGUUUAUGCCAUACUACUAUAAAUACUUCUAAGAGAAGAUUUAUCUUGACUUAAGACUUGGAAUUUUGUUAAAUUAAUGCACAAAUGUAUAUGACCAUAACUUAACGAUGAUUUGUAUAUUAGCUGAGUCAAGUGGCAUACAUAAAAGCAAUGAAGGUUUCUUGGACAUUCUACACUGAAAUGUUUAGAAUGUUUAAAAAAUUUAUCUUUCUAUUUUCCAAUAGUGUGGUAAAUGUAAAGUGCUUAGCACUUUGCGUGACACAUGGUAGGGCCUCAAAAAAUAUUAGCUAUUAUCAUUAUAAACCACAGAGGCCCUGUUAUGUGGCAGUUUGUAUCUCUCUCUUGACUAAUAGAAGCACUUUGCAGAUGAUAUGUCACACAAUCUAGAAAGGUAGUGCUUAAAGGAAUAGACUUAUCUCCUUAUUUUACAAAUGAGGACAUUGAGGCCCUAGGAAGUUAAAUGACUUAGACAAAAUCACAAAGGUAAAGUGGAAAGCCCAGGAGAAAUCCCCUGGCCUUCAGCCUGCUGUGAUUUCUACCAACUAUAGAUUAGAACUUUUCAGACAAGUGGCACCUGCAAGUGUCUUCGAGCAAGGCCUCAACCUCCAGCACAGCUCUUGCCACCUACAAACACCAGGGAAGAGCAAGAUUGAGUUACAUGGCUUGGAAGAAGAGUGAAACACCUCGCAAGACCCAGAGAAAACUCCACAUCCAUUUGCAGCUAAUUUUAAAGCCCAAAUAAAAGCACAAUCUUUGGAAUCACUCUA